UAAUUUAUAAAUUUUUGUUUAUUAUUUUGUUGGUUUAUUUGCCUUUUGCAUCAUGCUUAAUGGAAUUAUUAGUAUAAUCUAUAAACCGAAAAGUUUAGAUUUUAUUUUGGGCUGUUUGGAACUAAAUUUAGUUGGGUAAAUUUUUUUGAGACCUGAAGUAUGAUGUGAUAAAUUAGUCGUUAAGCUUUAUAACUGUUUUACUGCUUUUAUUUCGUUUUAGGCUUAAGGUUAAGAAAUCUUAUGCUAGUCUAUACUGAUUUUAACUUUUAUGUUAUAAAAGGGUUAAAAAUACCUAUUUAUUGAAAGUUUGUUAUAAUUUUAUAAAAUUAGUUUUGUUGGUUAGAUUUAUAGGCAGUAUAAAUUAAUUUUUAGUUUGUAAAUAUUAUUUAAAUGAGUAAUUAUAAUAUGGAAUUUAUUUCUCGAGUUUUGCCCGUCUGUUUAUUAAAAACAUUUCCAAUUUUUAUUAUAAUUGGUAUUACCUGCUCUAUGCUUUUGUAAAUGGCCGCAGUAUAUUGACUGUGCGAAGGUAGCAUAAUUAAUUGCCUUAUAAUUGAAGGCUUGUUUGAAUGGUUUGACGAGGUAACAAUAAAUAUAUUCUAUUUUUUUGAAAUUGUUUUUGAGGGCACAGAAUCCUCAAUAUUUAAUUAGACGGAAAGACCCCGGGAUCUUUUUAUUUUGCCUGGGGCAGGUUUUAAUAUUUUAUUAAGAUUGAGACCCUUUUGGUUUAUUGAGUUAAGUUACCCCGGGGAUAACAGUGUAAUAGUUAAUAAGAGAUCUUAUCGAAUUAACUGUUUGCCACCUCGAUGUUGACUUAGGUGAAAAUAUGGGCGCAGUAGUUUAUUAUUUUGGUCUGUUCGACCUUAAUCACCUCCAUGAGUUGAGUUAAGACCGGCGUAAGCCAGGUCGGUUCUUAUCUAUU
rnacentral:rRNA from 1 species